rnacentral:tRNA from 1 species
GGUUAGUUAGUUUAAUGAAAAUACAGGUUUUGUAAGUCUGAGAUGAUAUUAGUUAUUGCUAACCU